rnacentral:ncRNA from 2 species
CAAUGUACGCAGGGGAGUCCCAACCGAGGGACUGAGAGGCGGCUGGCCCGCUACGGGCAGUGUCGCGACCCUUUGAACCUGAUCCAGUUGACACUGGCGUAGGAAGCUAGGGCGCGUGAUUU